UACAGAGGUCCCAAGCGUUGUUCGGAUUCACUGGGCGUAAAGGGUGCGUAGGCGGUCGGGCAAGUCGGGUGUGAAAACCCCAGGCUCAACCUGGGGACGCCACCCGAUACUGCUAUAGCUAGAGUCCAGUAGGGGAGUGUGGAAUUCCCAGUGUAGCGGUGAAAUGCGCAGAUAUUGGGAGGAACACCAGUGGCGAAGGCGGCACUCUGGGCUGGUACUGACGCUGAGGAGCGAAAGCGUGGGUAGCGAACAGG
rnacentral:rRNA from 1 species